AAGGCCAGCUACAGUUGCCGUCUGGCGCAGGAGGUAACGGGUGGGAAGGAGCGGCGUUGGGAAGCGCUCGGGUCCGCCACCGCCAUCAUGAGCUAUUCAGGUUAUGGAAAUUGGAAUUCUGGAACAAAUAGAGGUUACGAAGAUUAUAAUUAUGGAUAUGGAUACGGUCAGGAUAACUCUGGCAAUUAUGGGUAUGGUAUGGGCACUUCAAACUCUUGGGAAAUGCCUAAUUCAAAUACAGACAUGAACUUUAACGCAUCCACUGGUACCAGCGCUGAUGAUGUAAUUUCAAAUUUUAACCAGCGCUUAGAUAUGGUAUCUCAUCUAGACACUGAAACGAUGCAAGGAGGACAUUAUGGCUCAGGUGGAGACAGGUAUGAUACAUAUGAACCCUAUGAUUCAAGGUCUGCAAUGAAUGACCGUGAUCCAUACAGAUCUGGCUAUGAUUACAGUGAGGCUAAACAUGAAACCGACAAUACCUAUGAAGGUCACUAUGACAGCUCCUAUGGCAACCGCAGGGACCAGUACCACAAUAGGGCACGUGACAACUUUGGCCACAGAGGUCAAAAUUGGGCCAGAGAUGGAAGAAAUAACAGAGGCAUGGCACCUUCAUAUGGGCGUAUGGGUGGACAAUGGAAUGACCCACCAGUACCAAUGGGAGGACGGGGUCAUGGCCCCAACAGACCACCAUCACUUUUUUCCCACAAACUAUUCCCUGAUUACAACAUGUUCCAGGGUAUGCGAGGUUACUCUGGCAAUAUGCGUUUUGGAGGAGGAAGCAUGAAACAACGAAUGAGGAGAAACUGGAAAAUGUGGGAUGCAGAUUUUAAAAAGAAAAGAAUAAAGAAUGAGACAACUGGUAAUAAACGUAAACAAGCUAACAGUUCUGAUGAACCUGAUAGCAAAGCAGCAAAAACAGAUAACUCAGAUAACUCAGACUCUGAUAAUGAAGAAGGGCCUGAAGGAGAAGCUGCUGAGAAGGGUUCUAAAAAUGAGGGAGAGGGGGAUGGUGCUGAAGAUGAAGAAAGAAAAGAAGAAUCGGAGAAAGGUGCUCUGACAAUUCAAGAAGAAAUCAGCCAAAUUAAGCGCAAAUUGCAAGCUGGGAAGAAAACUCAAGAGAGGCAAAAAAAACGUUACCGUGAUCGUAUGGUAGAAAGAAUUCAGUUUGUGUGUUCAUUGUGCAAGUAUCGCACUUUCUAUGAAGAUGAGAUGACCAAUCAUUUGGAAAGCAAAUUUCAUAAAGAGCAUUUUACAUUUGUUGGAACCAAGCUACCCAAGCAGACUGCUGACUUCCUGCAAGAAUAUGUAGCUAACAAAACAAAGAAGACAGAAGAACGUCGUAAAGCAAUUGAAGAUAUUAAUGCAGUUAUACAACAGAUUUACAAAGACCAAGAUCUUACACAAGAUAUAGGUAUGGAACAUUUUGUAAAAAAGGUGGAGGCUGCUCACUGUGUUGCCUGUGACCUUUUCAUCCCAAUGCAAUAUGGAAUCAUCCAGAAACAUCUGAAAUCUCUUGAUCAUAACCACAACCGUAGAGCUAUGAUGGAACAGUCCAAGAAAUCGUCAUUAGUAGUUGCAAGAAGUAUUCUUAACAAUAAACUUAUCAGUAAAAAAUUGGAGAGGUAUCUAAAGGGUGAGAAUCCCUUCACAGAUGAUCCUGAAGAGAAAGAGGAACAUGAAGAAAGUGAGGCAGGAACAAGUGGGAUCAUUGAGGAAACAGCAGCUGAAAGUGAAGGAAACCUAAAUGAAGAGCAAAGUAAAAGUGAUGAUAAUCCUGAGGAAAAUCCAGUGGCUGACGAAAGUGCAGAAAGCAAAGGUGAAGGAGAAGAACUACAAGGACAAAUGGAGGAAUGGAAUUUGACCACAUCUCAAGGUGUUGCUACCGAACAGAAUACAGAACCUGAAGAAGAAAAAGAAGAAACACAAGAGAAACAAGACAUUGUACCUUCAGAGAAGAUGGAACCACCUGAUGAGUGAACUUGCAAAGAAGGUUGAAUCAUUUUGAGACUCUGCAUUAAAUCUUCUAAAACCAUACCUGUAUUUGUGACACACCAUGGCACGUGGCUUUUGGUUUUCAUUGACCUCACUUUCACCUGGUUAACAGCCUUUAUUUUGGAGAUCAAGCAAUGGAACCUGAAAAUAUUCAAUGGACAUAUUUUCCUGGAAACCUGCUACAUUAGCAAAGACAAGGGUGAGUGAAGGAAUCAUUACACACUGGGUGGAGACCUUUCAGCCAUAUAAUACUUCUUCUUCCUUAAGACUCAAGCACCAAAUAACUGGUGGAGAAACAUGUAAAAAUAUGUUUGUGAGUAAAAAGCAUUUAGCAAAGUUUGAAUGUAUUGCUUAUUUUUAAUGUAUAAUGACUCAAGCGUUCAUACUGGUAGCUUUGUCUUGUACUCAAUCAAGUUGUAGAUAAUAAUAAAUUUUAUGAAUGUUGGGAGUACUAAAAUUCCAGUAUAAACUUGUAUUUAUACAUAUGGGUUGGCAUCUUAAAAGGUAUUAGUGGGCUGAACAAAGAAUGAGAAGUUUACAAAACAGUGUUGAGGUAUUCGCUUUCUGGAAAUAACUGACAGAGACAGAGGUUGCUAAUAUAGCACUUGAGUAAAAUAUUCCAUCUUCUUUCAACAUUUGGGUCCACAUACAUGCCAGUGGUAUGUUUUUGCAAAAUGGUAUUAGUUGCUAUGAUAAUUUUCUUUAAAUCAGAAAAAUGAAUGUUUAUCAAGCCACAUGUUAAUUCCAAAUGAAUAGUACUUACCAUUACCUUAGAAUAACUCAAAUUCAUUAUUUCUUGGACUAUUAGUCAAUUUGAAGGCAAAUUUACUCAUAGUCUGAGUACUUAUACUUGGGAUUCAGCCUUACUAUGUAUUGAGAUAAACAUAAAACAAAUCUAUAUUUUCAUAUAACUUUAAAACCAGGGGUGUUCUUUUUAUUAUUAUAUUUUUAUCCCGCCUUUUUAAUAUAUAACCCAAGGGGGAAAAUAAUUCUCCUGCCUCCUGUUUUCCUCACAACAACCACGCUGUGAGGUGGAUUGUUCUGAGAGAGAGAGUGAUUCACCCAGCCUCUUUUCAUGCCUAAUAGGACUGGAACUCUAAGUCUUCUUGGUUUUUCAUUCAGCACCUUCACUGCUGCACCAUACUGGCUUUCCAGUUUCUCUCUCUGGAUUGUGAUAUUUGUACAGGGCAGUUUGCACUGAUGAAGGAUGCUAACUUUUUCCCAGUAUCUGAUACGUUCUUCCUUUGACCCUGUUCUCUCCUUCUCCUCUCUCCCCCCUUCCAAUAUACUCCAGCUGGGACAUAAAUCUUGGAGAGGAAUCCCCUUCUGUUUGAAAUAAGGUACUACUGGAUGGGAAGCAGCCUUGAAUAGAAUUAAUGAGGUUGGGAAUUAACCAAUUAUUUUGUAGAGCCUCAUCUGCAAAUGAUGCUUUGAUACUCCAGGUACAUAAUAACAUAUGGUGAUAACUCAGUUUUUCUGCCUUUUGAAAAUUUGAAUCUGUAUACUUGAAAGAAAAUGCUACUGUAAUUAGUGGUUUUAUUUCAAAUUACAUAGGCAGAUGAUUGCAAUUGACUGAACUAUGUCUAUUCAAUUAAAUAUAUAUUUUCUAAAUAUAUAUGCAUUGGAUCUGGCCAUGGGUCAGGCCAUGGGUUUCCACAUUGCAUUUUGAGUUAAGCCUUUUUUCUUUCAUGUAGGAGUAGCUAUUUAAGCUAUCUAUAAUUGUUUUGUGGAACCAUUAUUAGAUUAAAACUCUAUUUUCUAAAUUGCAAUCUGGAGAAUACAAAAGCACAUUUCAAAACCGUUGUACUCAAAGUUAAGAAAUUAUUGAGCUGUUAUAUGUAUGUAUUGUUGCAUACCUGGUAUUGUUGAUAGAAUCAAAGAAAUAGUCUGCCCUAUUCUAGCCUCUGGAGUUACAGUUUCCACAUUCCUGGAAUCUAAAGGAAACUUCCAUUUUUCCAGCAAAAUUUCUUCUGCUGGAGCACAUGGAAGAUCAAUGUAACCUGCCCCCCUAAAAUCUCACUUCUUUACCUAAUUUUUCCAGAUAGUUAGAAAUAUUUCUUAACAAAAUUUGAGGGCAUAUGAAGUCUGAAAGGUGGAAGAAAACAAUCAAUAGCCCAACUUUAUAAAUUUAAUAUCUGAUUUUAUUUGUCCAUGGUUUUCUUAACUUCAAAGAAGAUAUUACAAUAACCAGAUUAUUUUGCUUGCUGAUUAUAACUGAAAUGGUAAAAUAAUUGUCUUUUAUGCACUUUUCAUAUUCAUAUAAGAAUUUCAAUUCAUAUUGGUGUAAAGUGUUGAUGUUCUCCAACUAUUAGAUUCUGAAUGAAAAAAAACUGUAAUAAAUAGAAAAAUAUUUGUAAUUCCCUUUUCCUAUGAAUUACAGAAUAUAUUGUAAUUAGCUGUCACUGAACAAAUAGCUCAAGUUUCAUACAUUUUUUGUAUCUCAGGAAGUGUUUUCCUAUGACUUAAGAGGCUUAGAAAAAGGCUUUAAAAUUUUAUCUUCCAAGAAAACUGGAAAAAAAAUCAGUGAUUGACAUAAUAAGCUUUGUGGAUUUAAUCAAAUAUAUGCUUUUCGUUAUUAAAAGGCAAGGCAAGUGAUUUUAAAAAUACCAUUCUGCUUGUGGAUAUUUCAUCCACAAACAGAAUGGUAUUUGCAAAAGAAUGGGUGCAUUCUUUUGCAAUAUUAUAAAGUUAAUGUUAAAAUUACUUUGCCUAUGUUGUUUUAAUUGAGUCUGACUGAUAAUUGUAGGAAUUGAGGAAUUGAUGGAUUAAAUAUUUUGAGAAAAGAGGUUAAAAAGGUUGUAUCUCUGGAAUUGGUCCAAAAAAACUUAAAAAGGACAACAAAAUGUAUGGUAGAGCAGCAAGACAUAUUACAGAGUGAGGAGAAAGACUUGUUCUACUUUUGUAGGAAUAGAUCGAUAGGCAUAAGAAAGAGUUUAUAGUGGCAUAUCUGAUUGUUGGAGCAGCAAUUCUCCAGAAGCUCUGGUAUUCUCCUAGGCCAGCUAACCAAGAGAUUGUUUUUGUCUCUAGUUCCAAUUGUUUAAAAAUUAUUCAUUAUAUAAACGUACUCUCUUUACUCUACUUCCAUAUAACGCAUACUAUAAUUUCUAUCUCUGCAUAGGAGAAGAAUGCCAGGAUCAAUGCCUUUCUUUAUAAACAAUAUAAAUAUUCUUACAUUAUAAAGAGUUACAUAGCAGAAAAAUUGCAUCUCAUCUUCUGUCACUGCUGCAGCACAAGUUUCUCUUCUGCUUGAAUGUUAUUGACUGUGUUCCUGCAUGAAAUACUAAAUUUGCACAUCGAUUGUUUUUAAAAUUGUAUUUUUCAUGAACAACAAUAUUCUCUCUGUAUAGACAUUUUUAAAUCAACUCCUAGUGAUUGCAUUUCAGCAGUUUUCUUGGCAGCAUUAUGGAAGUGAUUUGAUACUUCCACCUUCUAAGAUGUUUUUAUUCCUUCUCCGUCUAGUGAGUCCUAGAGUCAGACAUUCUUCCAUUCAAAUAUUAACCAGGGUUAAUCCUGCUUUGCUUUUCAAAUGGCAAAGAUUUAUAGAACCACCUGCUCAGAUUUCAUUAUUUAAAAAGAGCUCAUUCAGACAGCCAUGAAGUGUUUUCCUUCAGUCUAUUAGCAUUUGUAUUAUUAUUACAGGUUUUAGCUUUAAGAGUACAAGAAGUUCCUUUAUUGCUAACAAUUUGUCCUCCCCUUGUCAUCAAUUUCUAUUCUACUUCAAUAAUUAACUUGGCAAGUACUAUCCUUAUUGCCUUAAUGUAGGACAAGUUAAGAAAAAUAUUUGGUAGCUUCUUCUGGCUUUAUUUUCCCUCCCACUUAAUGUCACCUUAGUGGGAAAAUAACCACCAAUUUGAGAUGUCCUUGGUGCUCUCUGACCUUGCUUGUUUCUUUGUAGAGGUUUCAUUAUCCAAAUUAGGUAACAUCAUCAGUGCUAGUAAGGAGUGCAGUUUGCUGUAACCUCCUUUUUUGGCUGGGUGAUAGUCUCUUUUGCAUAGUCUAUAGAUGUUAUAUGUGUCUAGUGGUGGUUGAUUUGUCAGAGUGCCGGGCUUCUAGAAAUCCCUUGGAAACAAUCAACCAGCCAAAAAGGGAACAAAAUUACCAAGCACCUCUCCACCAGUAAUCAGCAGCCAGAUCAGCAUACAUUAACUUCAAGAUUAACAUCAGAUCAACAAUCAAGUAAGCAAUACCCCAAUCAAGAAACUGCCAAAAAAGCCAACAGCAAACAGUUCAAUCAAAAAAUCUCUAAGAUCAUCCCCCACCAACAUUUACAGGGCAAGGUACUAGAAUAUAAACUGACAGCAAACCACACUCCUUACUACAGUAGCACUGGU